rnacentral:snRNA from 1 species
UUACUUACCUGGACGGGGUCAAUGUGCGAUCAAGAAGGCACAUGGCCUAGGUUGGUGACCUCCAUUGCACUUUGGAGGGGUGCCCACCUAAGAUCGGUCCAGGUGGUCGAGCUUACGUCAUAAUUUGUGGCAGUGAAAUCU